rnacentral:lncRNA from 1 species
GAAUUUCAUAAGGAUGGUGAAUUUGAAGUGCAGAAUCUGAAUGCUGACUUAACGGCGGCAGCUGUGCACGAAGCAGAUAAACAUUUUAAGGCAUGUCGGGAAGCAGACACUUUCCUCUCCCUGCUCCAGCUGGCUGAGGAGCUUUGCGCCCUGCCGAGCACAGCUACCAAGAGCCAUAGCGAGGGGGCUCCCGGGGAGCCUGAAGACACAUACAUUGUCCACCUGGAAAGCUGGUCGAAGGACAGCAUUCAUUUUCUGGCAAAUAAAAGCACUUGAAUAGCUCUAAUGCCCAAAUGGUUUCCUAGUAAGACUGCUUCAGUCAUAAUCCAUAGGAAUCUAAUUUGGGAACAGAAACCAUUAGAAUAGUUCAGUUGGAAGAGACCUUCAAAGAUCAUCGAGUCCAACUGCCUGACCACUCAGAAAUUUCCACAAAGAUAAAAAUUUGUCUGCUGGAGUCACUUGAUCAGACAGCUACGUCGAUGUUGAAUAGCAGAAGCACAAGGCCAGUCUCUUGCUACAUGCCCUUGUGUUAGCUCUACCUGUUGCUGACUUUCUUGCCUACGCCUUGGUGUGAAAUCACUGCCUUGCUCAGAGAGAUUAAAAAAUUCUCUCUGAUCUUGCCACUGUUCUUUGCAUUAUAAUUCAGGCAUAAGUGGUGACAGCGUGCGCAUAGGUCAGCAGACUGAUGCCUGUAGCUUCCUCUCUUGCUACUUAUCUUUCACAAUUAUAUCACAGUAGCACAGAGAGCUUUCAAGAAAAAGCAGAAAGGUGCAACCAUUCUGCAAAAAAAAAAUAAAUUGUAAAAUGUAGAACCUUCC